GUCGAACGGCAGCACGGGGGCAACCCUGGUGGCGAGUGGCGAACGGGUGAGUAAUACAUCGGAACGUGCCCAGUCGUGGGGGAUAACGUAGCGAAAGUUACGCUAAUACCGCAUACGAUCUACGGAUGAAAGCGGGGGACCGUAAGGCCUCGCGCGAUUGGAGCGGCCGAUGUCAGAUUAGGUAGUUGGUGAGGUAAAGGCUCACCAAGCCGACGAUCUGUAGCUGGUCUGAGAGGACGACCAGCCACACUGGGACUGAGACACGGCCCAGACUCCUACGGGAGGCAGCAGUGGGGAAUUUUGGACAAUGGGCGCAAGCCUGAUCCAGCCAUUCCGCGUGCAGGACGAAGGCCUUCGGGUUGUAAACUGCUUUUGUACGGAACGAAAAGGCUCUGGUUAAUACCCGGGGCUCAUGACGGUACCGUAAGAAUAAGCACCGGCUAACUACGUGCCAGCAGCCGCGGUAAUACGUAGGGUGCAAGCGUUAAUCGGAAUUACUGGGCGUAAAGCGUGCGCAGGCGGUGAUGUAAGACAGAUGUGAAAUCCCCGGGCUCAACCUGGGAACUGCAUUUGUGACUGCAUCGCUGGAGUGCGGCAGAGGGGGAUGGAAUUCCGCGUGUAGCAGUGAAAUGCGUAGAUAUGCGGAGGAACACCGAUGGCGAAGGCAAUCCCCUGGGCCUGCACUGACGCUCAUGCACGAAAGCGUGGGGAGCAAACAGGAUUAGAUACCCUGGUAGUCCACGCCCUAAACGAUGUCAACUGGUUGUUGGGUCUUCACUGACUCAGUAACGAAGCUAACGCGUGAAG
rnacentral:rRNA from 1 species